rnacentral:rRNA from 1 species
UACGUAGGGUGCAAGCGUUAUCCGGAAUUAUUGGGCGUAAAGAGCUCGUAGGCGGUUUGUCGCGUCUGCUGUGAAAACCCGAGGCUCAACCUCGGGCCUGCAGUGGGUACGGGCAGACUAGAGUGCGGUAGGGGAGAUUGGAAUUCCUGGUGUAGCGGUGGAAUGCGCAGAUAUCAGGAGGAACACCGAUGGCGAAGGCAGAUCUCUGGGCCGUAACUGACGCUGAGGUGCGAAAGCUAGGGGAGCAAACGGG